GGAGGGAUGGCCGAGUGGUUUAAGGCGCAGGUCUCGAAAACCUGUUUCCGAUUAUUCGGAACGUGGGUUCGAAUCCCACUCCCUCCG
rnacentral:tRNA from 2 species